UCCGGUUUGUCACCGGCAGUCUCGCAUGAGUCCCCAACUGAAUGCUGGCAACAUGCGACAGGGGUUGCGCUCGUUGCGGGACUUAACCCGACAUCUCACGACACGAGCUGACGACAGCCAUGCACCACCCGUGACGGUGCCCCGAAGGGAGGCCGUGUUUCCACGGCUGUCACCGACAUGUCAAGCCCAGGUAAGGUUCUUCGCGUUGCGUCGAAUUAAACCACAUGCUCCGCUGCUUGUGCGGGUCCCCGUCAAUUCCUUUGAGUUUUAGCCUUGCGGCCGUACUCCCCAGGCGGGGCACUUAAUGCGUUAGCUGCGGCACAGAACGAGUGGAACCCGCCCCACACCUAGUGUUCAUCGUUUACGGCUAGGACUAC
rnacentral:misc_RNA from 1 species